ACCCCUGCUUUCACAAAGAGGCUGUUUCCAAACUCAAACCCAUGACCACUUGGUCACAAUGGAGCAACCUUUACCGUUGAACCAAGACCUGCCCUCAACCAUAUUACAAUUAA